UACGUAGGGUGCGAGCGUUGUCCGGAGUUACUGGGCGUAAAGCGCGCGCAGGCGGCCAUCUAAGCCCAGCGUGAAAGCCCACGGCUCAACCGUGGAGGGUCAUUGGAAACUGGGGGACUUGAGUGCAGGAGAGAAGAGUGGAAUUCCACGUGUAGCGGUGAAAUGCGUAGAGAUGUGGAGGAACACCAGUGGCGAAGGCGGCUUUUUGGUCUGUAACUGACGCUGAGGCGCGAAAGCGUGGGGAGCAAACAGG
rnacentral:rRNA from 1 species